rnacentral:tRNA from 1 species
CGGGGAGUAGCGCAGCUCGGCAGCGCACCUGCUUUGGGAGCAGGAGGCCGGGGGUUCAAAUCCCCCCUCCCCGA